rnacentral:rRNA from 1 species
AUUGAACGCUGGCGGCAGGCCUAACACAUGCAAGUCGAGCGAGCGGAGGACGGGUGAGUAAUGUCGGGGAAACUGCCUGAUGGAGGGGGAUAACUACUGGAAACGGUAGAUAAUACCGCAUACCAUCAGAUGUGGCCAGAUGGGAGUAGCUAGUAGGUGGGGUAAUGGCUCACCGAGGCGACGAUCCCUAGCUGGUCUGAGAGGAUGACCAGCCACACUGGAACUGAGACACGGUCCAGACUCCUACGGGAGGCAGCAGUGGGGAAUAUUGCACAAUGGGCGCAAGCCUGAUGCAGCCAUGCCGCGUGUGUGAAGAAGGCCUUCGGGUUGUAAAGCACUGUCAGCGAGGAGGCGUUACUCGCAGAAGAAGCACCGGCUAACUCCGUGCCAGCAGCCGCGGUAAUUC